rnacentral:rRNA from 1 species
GAUGAACGCUGGCGGCGUGCUUAACACAUGCAAGUCGAACGGAGUGGCGAACGGGUGAGUAACAUGUCGGUGAUCUGCCUUGCACUUCGGGAUAAGCUUGGGAAACCGGGUCUUAUACCGGAUAUUGCAAGAUGAGCUCGCGGCCAAUCAGCUUGUUGGUGGGGUAAUGGCCUACCAAGGCGUCGACGGGUAGCCGGCCUGAGAGGGUGUACGGCCACAUUGGGACUAAGAUACGGCCCAGACUCCUACGGGGGGCAGCAGUGGGGAAUAUUGCGCAAUGGGCGGAGGCCUGAUGCAGCGACGCGGGGUGGGGGAUGAAGGCCUUCGGGUCGGGAACUCCUUUCGACAGGGACGCGGUACCUGUAUAAGAAGCACCGGCUAACUACGUGCCAGCAGCCGCGGUAAUUC